GGCACAGAGUGGGAGCCAAGGACACCAUUUGUAUGCAGGCUUGCAAACAGCCACUCGCCCAAAGACACUAUGAAUUUUCCCAGGCAGCUCCUCCCCAUAUUCCAUAUAGAGGAAUCGGCAGGUGUGUGCAACACGCAGGGAGGGCUGGUGGGAGGCUAGCUACACCUCCUCGAGGCCCGCUGAAAUGCCUGUACAGAGGUAGCUUCUUCCUGGGACUCUCUCCUCUUCCCUGAGACGGCCAGUAGGGAGCAAGGAAGGAGCAAGGAGGGCCAGUCAACUGUGACUGAGAACAAGAUCCCCCUGGGGCAGGUGCUGGCCCCAAGCCAGAGGUCAAUGGAACUCCUGAACUCCCUGCAGCAGAGACACACUUCUUCCAAACCAGGAACGGUGUCUGCAUGGAUUCCCCCAGGAGACAGGGAUGAAGAUGCCCAAGAGGUUACAGGCGGGGAAAGAGAGGCCUGGCAAGAAGCCCCCAAAUUGUUUAAGCCUCAACCUCGAAAAGCCUGGAUCGACCCCUGGAGGAAGGGCAGCCAGACCCUUGGAAGAGGGUCAACAGCUACGAAGGAAGCCAGGUGUCGCCUGUCUCCUCCAGUGCCCAGUGCUCCCAGUCAUCUCCCAACUCUCCUGGGUGUGCUCACACUGGCCUGGCCCACCCCAGAACUGAUCAACAAACACUUGAUGUGGAUGCAUUAAACCUGCUCAUGAUACAGACUCACAGGCCGGGAGGAGGGCUCUUGAAAGAAUCAAGUAAGUAGCCCCCUCCACAUCCACAGGGGAUCGCCCCCACCAACCCCAGAAAGCCGCUCCAGAUUUCAGAGACCAACAUUCUAUAACUUUCUGUGCUGAUGAAUUUGGUUAGUGGAAGACUACUAAAUUCUGGUCCUGUUCCCUCAGUAAAAAAUGUCACCAGGAGUC